rnacentral:rRNA from 1 species
UACGGGGGGAGCAAGCGUUGUUCGGAUUUACUGGGCGUAAAGGGCGCGUAGGCGGCCAGCACAAGUCAGUUGUGAAAUCUCCGAGCUUAACUCGGAAAGGUCAACUGAUACUGUGCGGCUAGAGUGCGGAAGGGGCAACUGGAAUUCUUGGUGUAGCGGUGAAAUGCGUAGAUAUCAAGAGGAACACCUGCGGCGAAGGCAGUGGUCUGGGCCGAAACUGACGCUGAGGAGCGAAAGCGUGGGUAGCGAACAGG